rnacentral:rRNA from 1 species
CCUACGGGUGGCAGCAGUGAGGAAUAUUGGUCAAUGGACGAGAGUCUGAACCAGCCAAGUAGCGUGAAGGAUGAAUGCACUAUGGGUUGUAAACUUCUUUUAUAUGGGAAUAAAAUGUUCCACGUGUGGGAUUUUGUAUGUACCAUAUGAAUAAGGAUCGGCUAACUCCGUGCCAGCAGCCGCGGUAAUACGGAGGAUCCGAGCGUUAUCCGGAUUUAUUGGGUUUAAAGGGAGCGUAGGUGGAUUGUUAAGUCAGUUGUGAAAGUUUGCGGCUCAACCGUAAAAUUGCAGUUGAAACUGGCAGUCUUGAGUACAGUAGAGGUGGGCGGAAUUCGUGGUGUAGCGGUGAAAUGCUUAGAUAUCACGAAGAACUCCGAUUGCGAAGGCAGUUCACUGGACUGCAACUGACACUGAGGCUCGAAAGUGUGGGUAUCAAACAGGAUUAGAUACCCGAGUAGUC